GACGGAGGAUGCAAGUGUUAUCCGGAAUCACUGGGCGUAAAGCGUCUGUAGGUGGUUUAGUAGGUCAACUGUUAAAUCUUGAGGCUCAACCUCAAAAUCGCAGUCGAAACUAUUAGGCUAGAGUAUAGUAGGGGUAAAGGGAAUUUCCAGUGGAGCGGUGAAAUGCGUAGAGAUUGGAAAGAACACCGAUGGCGAAGGCACUUUACUGGGCUAUUACUAACACUCAGAGACGAAAGCUAGGGUAGCAAAUGGG
rnacentral:rRNA from 1 species